rnacentral:tRNA from 3 species
UCCCCGGUAGCUCAAUAGGCAGAGCGGGUGGCUGUUAACCACUAGGUUCGCGGUUCAAGUCCGUGCCGGGGAGCCA